GCGUGGGAACUUGCGAAUGCUGAUCAGAGGCCCCUGGUUUGCUACCGGCGGGAGAACUACGUGUACCCGCGCUCCGUCGGGAAGCGAACCGUCGGCCAUCGGGCACGUCGCGUCGACGCGGGCGCCGGUCGACGCCAGCCAUCGCGCCGCAUACCGCCGUAAUUCCGCAGCAUGGAAUCGAAUGGCCGUCCGCUCCAGACGACCGCGGCGCUCGACCCACACCUCAUCCGGUCCGUUGACGAGCACGUCGGUGACGUCGUCGUCGGUCAUGACCUCGGUGAGCGGCCCGUAGCCGUCGAUGGCGUCCGCCAGCUGCGCCGCGAUCUCCGGCGUAGGAAGGAGAUCCCUAAGGGCAAGACGACGCG
rnacentral:misc_RNA from 1 species